rnacentral:rRNA from 1 species
CUUAGAGGUUAAGCCCGAUGAACCUGAAUAUCCAUUAUGAAAAAUUCAUCAUUAUACCUGUAAUAUUAAAAUUUAUUUUAAAAUUAUUUGUGAUAGUGUGCAUUUUUUUCAUAUAAGGACAUUGUAAUCUAUUAACAUAAUUAAAUAUUUAUCAAAAGAUCAUUAGCUUAUGGUUUAUUCGAAUUAAUUUGCUUUUAUUAGCAUAUUAACAUAAAAUAAAUACAAAUGAUUUGAUAAAGUGUUGAUAGAUUUAUUAUAUAUAAUGCUUAAAUUUUAAAUAAAAAUUUUACA